rnacentral:tRNA from 1 species
GUCGGGAUCGCAUAACUUGGUAUUGCGCUGGCCUGCUAAGUCAGUUUCCGAAAGGAUGUCUGGGUUCAAAUCCCAGUCCCGACG